rnacentral:lncRNA from 1 species
GUUCCGGCUCCGGAAUUGUCAGAACCGGAACCGCCAGAACCGGGAACCGCCAGAACCGGAACCGCCAGAACCGGGAACCGCCAAAACCGGGAACCGCCAGAACCGGAACCGUUUACCCAAAUAGACCCAGAACCGGAACCGGAUACAGCCUGGCUAUGAAGUUAAGAUUAAGUUUUUGCUACUACUGACAAGUCCCGCUGUGUUCUGUCAAAAGAAUCAUACAAGCUUCCAUUAUUGUGACAGAAUGCAUUAGUAAAGAAGACAAACCAAAUAGUAUCACCAUGUUUUUAGCAAAGUUGAGUAAAUACAUUCAGUUUUACCACAAGAAAUUGGAUUAUACCAUCCUUGUGUACAGAUACACUAAGUGCUUUUUCCUUGAUGUUGAGAGAACUGUCAACCUUCAAGUGUAAUCUGUUUUUUCUUACAGAGUAUAAACAUAAUCGCUUUGAU